AUUGAACGCUGGCGGAAUGCUUUACACAUGCAAGUCGAACGGCAGCACGGACUUCGGUCUGGUGGCGAGUGGCGAACGGGUGAGUAAUACAUCGGAACGUGCCCAGUCGUGGGGGAUAACGUAGCGAAAGCUACGCUAAUACCGCAUACGAUCUACGGAUGAAAGCGGGGGAUCGCAAGACCUCGCGCGAUUGUAGCGGCCGAUGGCAGAUUAGGUAGUUGGUGGGGUAAAGGCUCACCAAGCCGACGAUCUGUAGCUGGUCUGAGAGGACGACCAGCCACACUGGGACUGGGACACGGCCCAGACUCCUACGGGAGGCAGCAGUGGGGAAUUGUGGACAAUGGGCGCAAGCCUGAUCCAGCAAUGCCGCGUGCUGGAAGAAGGCCUUCGGGUUGUAAACUGCUUUUGUCAGGGAAGAAAUCUUCUAGGCUAAUACCCCGGGAGGAUGACGGUACCUGAAGAAUAAGCACCGGCUAACUACGUGCCAGCCGCCGCCGUAA
rnacentral:rRNA from 1 species